UAACCUUCGGGAGGGCGCUUACCACUUUGUGAUUCAUGACUGGGGUGAAGUCGUAACAAGGUAACCGUAGGGGAACCUGCGGUUGGAUCACCUCCUUACCUAAAGA
rnacentral:rRNA from 1 species